rnacentral:misc_RNA from 1 species
AUUUAGUGUAAAUUUAAGCUACAAAGAGAAAAAGAAAUAUUCUGAUCAUAUCAUGAUAUUGAUACAUGGUAAAGAUCACUCAGUUAUAUCAAGGCGAAUGUGCUUGAGAAUCACCGGAAUUACAGUUUCUGGUGAGCUCAACUGGGGCAAGUGGCCGCCGGUUGGCAUGACCUCAACGAUGGAUUGGCCACCAAUAUUUUGAUGCAAAUAUUCAGAUACGAACACUGGCACAGCCAUGUCCUUCAUACUUUGCAGGAUGUGGCAAGGGGUCGUAACCAAGGGUAGAACAUGUCUCAUAUCGGUUAGAAAUAUAACCUGGGCUAAACUUAGUGCUAUAUCAGGUCUCAUAUUGAAGAGGGUUCGGGAGAAUUCUUGCACCGCUACCGAGUCCAUGUCUCCACCCACCACUAGAGGGGCG